rnacentral:tRNA from 1 species
CGUCCCAUGGCGUAGUGGUAACGCGCCCCAACUAGAGAUCGGGGAGUCGUGAGUUCGAUUCUCACUGAGAAGA